CCACAAGCUGUUCCCCUCGGUGUUUGACACCAAACACAUCAGCAAGAGGACCAGACAGGAGUUUCUGUCUCUCCGAAUUCCUAAUCUCUUCGCUCUUCACGCUGCCCUUGAAAGCCGACUCAUCGACCUGGCCCAGCGUGGACCCACAUUGAACCACACUGCAGUCUGCCAGAGAUACUGUGAG